rnacentral:lncRNA from 1 species
AGACAGGACACCUGUGAAUCUUUACAGCUGAUGUUGCUAACGAGCAGCUGAUUUAUAUAAAGGGUAAGGCAAGAGUUGUGCUAGAAUGGUAGUUGGGAAUAGGAAUGUGGAAGAGGCUACUGCUUUUCCUCUGGUUUGUUUUUUUUUUUUUUUCCAGUGAUUUAGCUAUAGUAUGAGGAUACAUUUUGAGGCAGGAACUCAUUUCUGAAAUUGUAGUAGCUGUCUUCUGAAAGGGAUCUUUGUUUCUAUUUUGAGCUUUUCUCUUACUGGGAGUAAGAAGCUCAAAGGCAGGAAAGGGAAAGAUGCUUUAAAAGCAGAAGUGAUGCAAGUGAUGCUGUCUCAAGAUUUCUCACUGCAAGAGGGAAAGGAAUCCUGGAGACCCAGCAAAGGGAACUAACUGCAAGCCAAAUCACAUUCAUUGAAUUUAAAUUGCUUGGAUUUGAGAGGCCUUCUCUUCUGGGCUUUUCAGAGGUCUGGUACUGGCUGUGGAAGUUAUCUGGGAACUCAGAGAAAUUCCACUUUAAAUAGGACUCUGAUUUGUCUUUACUCCACCCUCCUGCUGUGCUUCUGGAUUCAUGGAUGAUUUGGUCGUCUGGAUGUUGACAAACAGUUUUGGAUGCAACACAUUUCUCCUUUUCAUAAAUAAGGAUUUCCACAGAUCUAGAAAGAGUUAGCUAGUCAAAACUCUUACCAGGCAUACUUGCUGGCUUGAACUGUAUGUUGGAUACUUAGUUAUAUACUUUGCAUAUAGAUAGAUUGAUACCUUUGCAGUCUUGGGUCUGUGAUGAUCCUCCCCAGUUCUGCUGGUUGAGUCCACUGUGAAAUAGAGAAAAUCAUGGCAGAAGGAGCUCUGUUCUGCAGGAAGGGAACAGUACAGAGAAACAGAGAAGGUUACAGCUGCAUCAGCAAAACUGAAUACUAAAUUUCCAAAACUUUUUCACUAUGACCAUUUACAUAGGACUGAUUCCUUGCAUAAAACAUCAAGCUAUCCCUACAACAGACUUCACAACAUGGGUAUAGACAAAAACCAACUUAUAUCUUUGAUCAAUAGCAGAGUUUAGUAUCAGCACAAAUUUUGAAAGAAUGCAGAUCUCUUCACUGGGAACAAGGGAUUUUUUUUUGAUCAGUGGGUUGGUUUUAUUACAAC